GUUCAAAAUCCAUAGCUCUGUAAUCAGAUGGUGGACCUGGCUAAAAUCUUCACCUCAGAAAACAGUUCAGAGUCAGAAAAAGCAAUGCACCAAAGAUGCCUGAAAAUACAAAAAGAAACCCUGCUCAUUCUCAGGCUUUGUCCAUGGGAAGUGGACUGCGUCACCAUGCUAACCACAAGAAAAACAUUCCAAUCUUACAAUGUUCCCUGUACUCAUCUCAAAUUAACUUCUCCAGAAGGGAUAACAUUUUAGGCGCAUUUGUUGAGGAGGAAAAUUGAAGCAGGGAGAUGAUAAAGACUUACUGAGAGCUAGCACAAUAGCUUGGUGGCAAGACCAGGAAAAGAGGAAGAGAUCUGACCUCACUCUGGUCUCUUGGAGUACUUAAUUGUUGUAGGGGCCUCCAGUCGGUAAUGAGUCUAAGACAGUGGAAAGCACAAUUUCUCACGGGGGUGGGGGUUGUGGUGAAGAUGUUCAUUUCUCUCCUUUUGUUCAAGAGCUGUCUUUGAAGGCAUUGUUCUUCCACAGCUGCAGUAGCCUACAUUCAUUGUGAUAAUUGUGGGACAAUACAUAGAAUGGAUGAUUGAUACAUGAGAUAAAGUUGUGUAAGAAUAUUACUAGACGAUCAUAUGGAGAUAAUAAAUUACACAAAGACAGCUCAAAGAAAUAAUCUAAAGACAAUUUUAGUGGGGUACAAUGUGGGAGAUGGCACAGCAGAUCCAAACAGGGAUAAAAAUGAGUAAGAGAAACCAACUAAAACAUUUGCUGGAACAAGUCAUAUAACAGCACAUGAGUUACAGUAUUAAAGAUAGGUGAGUAGUUCAUGGGCAGAAAAGGAAACAAAUUCUCUGUGCUCAUGAAGAGCUCUGUACUGCCUAUGCACCCUGUCAUCUUUUUUUCCAUUUAAGAAGGAGCUGUAAGUGCACUUCUUUCUUUUGGUAGGAAAUCCAGGUUUACUUACGGGGUCUGGAUAUUUAGGAGGUUGAGUCCGAGAGUCACCGCAAAGCGUGCAGACCAGUCUGGACAUAUUCAAAGAGUCAAUAAGGUGCCAUAGUAAAGAGAUUGCUGCCUUACAAAAUGUGAGGUGAACUCAAUGCUUUCAAAGCAGAACAAAUAUUGGUGUUCCUAUCUGAUGGGUGUAAGAUAUAGAAAGCAAAGAGCAGACAAAGUUUGGUUUGGAUUUUAUUUUAUUUUUAAAUUCUUUUUUGAGGCACCCUUUGUAAAUUUGUUGCCAGUUCCAUGUUAAGAUGUUUGAGAGACAGGCUUUCUUACAUUUUCCAACUCUUCUAAAUUCUCACUAUUUAUCAAUCAUACUGUAUGGCCUUGACAGUUUGAACUCUCAGUGAAUAUAGUUUUAAGAACACCUUGAAAAUUUUUAUAAUGAAAGAGUAGAUUAAAAAGGGAAGAUGCAAUUGUUACUACUAAAGGAAUAUCUGAAAUAAAGAUACUCGCUUAUUA